CGAUCUGCUGCGGGCAGAUGUAGUGGAUGUGGGUGUCGAAGCCGCCGGCGGUGAGGAUCUUGCCCUCGCCCGCGAUCACCUCGGUGCCCGGCCCGACGAUGAUGGUGACGCCCGGCUGGAUGUCGGGGUUGCCGGCCUUGCCGAUGGCGUGGAUCAUUCCGUCCUUGAUCGCGACGUCGGCCUUCACGAUCCCCCAGUAGUCGAGGAUCAACGCGUUGGUGAUCACGGUGUCGACCGCGCCGCCGGCGCGCGUCGUCUGCGCCUGCCCCAUGCCGUCGCG
rnacentral:sRNA from 1 species